AGUGAACGCUGGCGGCAGGCCUAACACAUGCAAGUCGAGCGGCAGCGCGUCCGACCACCCUCGGGUGGUCGGAUGGCGGCGAGCGGCGGACGGGUGAGGAAUGCAUCGGAAUCUGCCUCGUUGUGGGGGAUAACGUAGGGAAACUUACGCUAAUACCGCAUACGACCUACGGGUGAAAGUGGGGGACCUUCGGGCCUCACGCGAUGAGAUGAGCCGAUGCCGGAUUAGCUAGUUGGCGGGGUAAAGGCCCACCAAGGCGACGAUCCGUAGCUGGUCUGAGAGGACGAUCAGCCACACUGGGACUGAGACACGGCCCAGACUCCUACGGGAGGCAGCAGUGGGGAAUCUUGCGCAAUGCGCGAAAGCGUGACGCAGCAACGCCGCGUGGGGGAAGAAGGCUUUCGGGUCGUAAACCCCUUUCAGUUGGGACGAAGCUUCGCCGGUGAAUAGCCGGUUGGAGUGACGGUACCUUCACAAGAAGCCCCGGCUAACUACGUGCCAGCAGCCGC
rnacentral:rRNA from 1 species